UGGGCAACAUGGCUGUGACAGAGCUCUCCAAUCCCUCCCUCCACUUGGCCCCAUGACACCUUUUCUUCUGUGACACUUUAUAUCUGCAUGUUCCUUCCC